AUGUUCUACCAUAUCUCCCUAGAGCAUGAGAUCCUGCUGCACCCGCGCUACUGCGGCCCCAACUUGCUCAACACGGUGAAGCAGAAGCUCUUCACCGAGGUGGCGGGGACCUCGCUGUAACCACCACUGACAAUAUCGGUGCUGGUAUGAUCCAGCCAGGCCGAGGCUUCGUCCUCUAUCCAGCUAAGUACAAGGCCAUUGUUUUCCGGCCCUUUAAAGGAGAAGUCGUGGAUGCUAUUGUCACUCAGGUCAACAAGGUUGGACUCUUCUCAGAAAUUGAAGCAAACCUAUGUCUUGCUUCAUCUCUCGACAUUCUGUCCCUUUAGAGAUGGAGUUUGAUCCUAACUCCAACCCACCAUGCUACAAAACAAUGGAUGAGGAUACUGUGAUUCAGCAGGAUGAUGAGAUCUGCUUAAAGACUGUGGGGACCCGUGUGGACAAGAAUGACGUUUUUGCUAUUGGCUCCCUGAUGGAUGAUGACUUAGGGCCUGUAAGCUGAGCCUGGUGGCCUCCUACCUUGGUCCUGAUCUAGGAAGUGUGACUGUCACACUUACUGUGCUGUCCAGAGGUCCAGUCUGGCUGCUGCUGCGGAGGCCAGGCAGGCAACUCAUCCCCGGAAGGUUCUUCUUUUGGCUCAGCUACUGCUUUCUGAUUUCUCAGUAUGCGUGCUAUGUAAAAAAGCCCUUGGUUCUCA